rnacentral:lncRNA from 1 species
ACUCUAACAAAUCUGGGUCCAAUUGCUGUAGUGUCUCCCUGGAGAUCCAUGCAAAAUCACAAUCUGGUCGACCAACCCAACGAACAAGGAAGUGUUGAACCUCUCCAUCAGUAGUGAACACAGUUUCUCCAUCUAAAAUAGCAUCAAUUUUUUCUUUGUGUGUUGUGAGAGGUGGUAGUGGGUUAGAAGGGGUCAAAGAAUCAGGGUCAAGGUCCACAAUAGGAGAAGACAGAGGAUCAUCUGAGGGAAUGAAAUGGCCUUUAUAAGCUACAAGGUCCUCAACAUUGAAAGU